GAUGAACGCUGGCGGCGUGCCUAAUACAUGCAAGUCGAGCGAACAGACGAGGAGCUUGCUCCUCUGACGUUAGCGGCGGACGGGUGAGUAACACGUGGAUAACCUACCUAUAAGACUGGGAUAACUUCGGGAAACCGGAGCUAAUACCGGAUAAUAUAUUGAACCGCAUGGUUCAAUAGUGAAAGACGGUUUUGCUGUCACUUAUAGAUGGAUCCGCGCCGCAUUAGCUAGUUGGUAAGGUAACGGCUCACCAAGGCAACGAUGCGUAGCCGACCUGAGAGGGUGAUCGGCCACACUGGAACUGAGACACGGUCCAGACUCCUACGGGAGGCAGCAGUAGGGAAUCUUCCGCAAUGGGCGAAAGCUUGACGGAGCAACGCCGCGUGAGUGAUGAAGGUCUUCGGAUCGUAAAACUCUGUUAUUAGGGAAGAACAAAUGUGUAAGUAACUAUGAACGUCUUGACGGUACCUAAUCAGAAAGCCACGGCUAACUACGUG
rnacentral:rRNA from 1 species